UACGUAGGGUGCGAGCGUUAAUCGGAAUUACUUGUCGUAACGCGUGCGCAGGCGGUUUUGUACGCCAGAUGUGAAAUCCCCGGGCUUAACCUGGGAAUGGCAUUUGGGACUGCAAGGCUCGAGUGCGGCAGAGGAGACUGGAAUUCCUGGUGUAGCAGUGAAAUGCGUAGAUAUCAGGAGGAACACCGAUGGCGAAGGCAGGUCUCUGGGCUGACACUGACGCUCAUGCACGAAAGCGUGGGGAGCAAACAGG
rnacentral:rRNA from 1 species